CUCGAUCUUCAAUCAGCUGCCCAUUGGCGACGCCCAUCUGGUCCCAUUCUAACCCCUGGAAACGCAGAUAAGCACCUCGGCUUUCAGCUGACUAAGCUGAUGAUCUGCAGCUGUGCCCUGCUGUCUCUGCCUGAGGCUCACUGAUAGAGCACCUGUGUGGCUGGGCCCAGACCCUUCUGUCUUUCACUCAAAGCCUCCGCUCUGUCGCUUGUGACCACACCAACAGCAGGAAGGGCUGAUAUGGCAGACAGACAGGACACCCAGGGUUCGGUGGUGUGGUCCUUUCACAAUAUCCUGAGCGUCUCUCCCCAGCUUGCGUUCGCUGUGUUUUAAAUUGAUCCAGUCACCCACGUGAGCUACGGCUCUUGCUUUGGUCUGAGAGCCCUUCGGCUUGGUGAUCUGUGGGCAGUGGAGUUGGACGCUAUCCUUGCAGCAAGACUCUUGUGGACAUCAUCCUGAAGAGGCUACGUGUCAGAGAGCAAAGAAACCUGGGCCAGUGUCCCGCCUCCGUCAUGUACUCGCUGUGAGAUGUACUGAGUCACCUAAACUCUGGGCCUCAGUUUCCUCAUUAGUAAAAUGAUGCCUGACCAUGCACUUAAAACAGCUGACGUUUAUUCAAUAACCCCAAGUACAAACAAGCUCCUCAAGGUAGAUUUUCCUCUGCUGUGUAUAUAACCAUCUGCCACACAGAAGAUACUCAGUAAAUGUUGGUGGGACACGUGAAUGAGCUUACCCAACAAAGGCGAGUCAAGAAGCCUUCUGGAUCUCAGUUUGUUCCUCUGCAAAAUGGGAUUUAGGUGUGCCUGCUUCAUAGGAUUUUUAGAGUGUGGUUACCUGAGCAAUGCCCCCCUCUUCCCCAAGAUUUCUGCACCCUUGGAACCUGUAACUGUGUGACCAUAUAUGGCAAAGGGGACUUUGCAGAUGUAAUUAAAUUUUGUAAUUUGAAUUAAAUUAAACCUUGAGAUGGGGAGAUUAUCUUGGAUUAUGCAGAUGGGUCUGGUGUAAUUGCCGGGAUCUUUGUAAGGAAGAGGCAGGGGAUCAGAGGGACAGAAGACGAUGUGGUCACAGAAGCAGGGAGAGACCAGGAGAUGUUGUGUGACUGGCCUUGAAGGUGCAAGAAGGGGCCACAGACCAAGGACUACAAGUUGGAAGAGGGAAGAAACAGAUUAUCCCAGAGCUUUCAUAAGGAAAACCCUCCCUAACCCCUCUGACACUUUGAUGUAGCCCUGCAAGAUUCAUUUUGAAUUUCUGACUUUCAGAGUUUUAAGAGAAAAAAAGGUUAUUUUAAGCCUCUCUAUGUGUAGUAAUUUGUUACAGCAGCAAUAGAAAACUAAUACAUGUAGGGAUCCAGUAAGAUCUUGUGUGGGAAGACUCUCAGAAAAACACAAAGCCAGGAGUCAUUAUUAGUUUAUGACAACUCACCCCUUGUUUAUUCCAUUUCUGUGCAGUGCUAUGUAAGUUUCAGCGACGAUAAUGAGGCGAGAUGCUUGAAUAAUAGCCUUACACCCCAAGGAAGGGUAUUUUUUCAUAGUUUAUAAUUGCCAUAGAGCUUGAAAAUCUUCCAGGUCUUAUAGUUCUUAAUUAUGCUCUCAUGCAUAUGUAUCAAUUACCCACAUGCUCCUACCUAGCUUGUUACUGCAAAGAUAUUUUAAAAUAUAUAUAUUUGGAACAGUUUCCUCUGCAUGCAUCUCUGUCUGAAAAUAUCCUAUGAAAUAUUUCACCUCCACUGCAAUAAUCCGUGCCUGUUGGGACAUGCUUGCCAGUCUUCCCCUGCACGAUGAAAUUAAACCUCCGCUGUUGUCUACGGCAGUCUCAAGCCUGCUCAUUCUACCUGGCAAUUCUCUCCUUAUAACUCUCAGUGGCUUCAUUGCAGAUUUGGUUCCCUGGGUUUGUGUCUGCUUUGGUGGAUAUGGUCUGCAAUCCAGGAAGGAUCAGGGAUUGCCCGACCCAGGAAGUUAUAUUGAAAUGGCAGUGGAGG
ensembl:lncRNA